AUCCCUGUGGCUCAGUUGGUAGAGCAUGGUGUUUGCAACGCCAGCAUGGUGUGUGCAACGCCAGGGUUGUGGGUUUGAUUCCCAUGGGGGGCC
rnacentral:tRNA from 1 species